GCGCGGCUAGCUCAGUGGUAGAGCGUCACAUUGACAUUGUGAAGGCCAUAGGUUCGAUCCCUAUGCCGCGCA
rnacentral:tRNA from 1 species